UUUUUAACCAGAGCAAAAUACAGCAAAUUUUGUGUUUAGAAAAUGUAAACAUGACUCUUCAUCGAAUUAUCCAAGGGAAUAUUUAGAAUAAUUAAUAGUCUUUAAAAGGUAGUAAUGUCAUAUUCCAGCAAAUGCCGAAAGUGGUUAUUCUUUAUACUCAAUUUAAUCACACAAUCAAUGCCAAUAGAAAAGACAUACAGUGGACACAAUAUUCAACCUCC